rnacentral:rRNA from 1 species
UACGUAGGGUGCAAGCGUUAAUCGGAAUUACUGGGCGUAAAGCGUGCGCAGGCGGUGAUGUAAGUCAGUUGUGAAAUCCCCGGGCUCAACCUGGGAACUGCAUCUGUGACUGCAUCUCUGGAGUACGGCAGAGGGGGAUGGAAUUCCGCGUGUAGCAGUGAAAUGCGUAGAUAUGCGGAGGAACACCGAUGGCGAAGGCAAUCCCCUGGGCCUGCACUGACGCUCAUGCACGAAAGCGUGGGGAGCAAACAGG